rnacentral:tRNA from 1 species
GGGCUCGUGGUGUAACGGCAACACGCCGGCCUUAUGAGCCGGUCAACACGCUCUCCUGGUGAGAGAGUCGAUGGAGGUUCGAUUCCUCCCGGGCCUA